rnacentral:lncRNA from 1 species
AAAAAUUCAAAAGUCUAUAACAAAAAACAAAGAAAAUAUAAGAAAGAAACAGAAAUACGAAAACGUAUAUAUACCAUAAUAAUACCAUCAGGUCAAAGUAAUCGGCCACAUGGUCAGAGUUAACGGUCAAAACAAUCAACGGUUCAGAUCACCCCUCCCAAAAUCAACAAGCUUCCGUGACCUAUUGCCGGAAAACGAUUUAGCAUGUGAGAUAUGAGGCACAACCGGAGCUCUUACAUCGCCGGAAUAUCCACAAUCCACCGGCGGCUUUCCUUUCACGUUCAACAUCCGGUGCGGACUCGCACUCACUAACGGACAAAAAAUCAAUUCCGUCACCCUCUUCUGUCCGCCGCCGCGCCGGACCUGAGUCUUCACCGGCGUCUGUUUACACGACUCCGUCGACUCGUUCGCGCUCGAACCGUCGCUGACGUCAUCAUCGGUUCGCACCGGUGACAUUCCUCGAUCCGAAACAAACCGUUGCUUCCGUACUCCGCCGUUAGAGGCAGUUACAGACGACUGACGACCACGCCACCACGACGUCGACGGCGUCACCGACGACGGCCUACCGCCACUACCGCUCAGUCCGUUACAACUCGAAACCGAAACCCUAGGUCUCAAAUCGGCAUCUCCAUUACGGUUACAAUUUUCGUUACGAUCUCCGUUACGACUGCUAGACCUGAACAGAUUUGAAAUAGACGGAAACCUAACAAAAUUCGGUUUCUUCGAGUUUGAUGAACUACUACCGAUACAACCGCCGGUAGUAACCGCUAUCUGCGGUGAACUGUAGACUCUUCUAUCCGAUACGCUGUGACUGAGGCGAGGUUUGAUGUACGGCCGUUGAGUAACUGCAACUGGAUUGUUGACGGAUUUUCGGUGGCUGAUAUACGGAGAAACCGAACGAUUGACCGUCGGAUUCUUUGAAUUCGAAUUACAACGGUUCAGAUCUAUCGGCUGAGGUUGAGAUUGUUCUUGAGUAAGGAUUAUUGUGAAUAGGCGUUCACGGAGGCACGUAGCGCAUACGCCGGUGAUGCUGCUGAGAUCGAUGGUGGUGAUGCUGCUUGUGCCGCCGGCAACGGUGGUGGUGGGUGGGGGUGCCGGUGAGGGGUUGAGAAUGCGGUUCUAGCGCGUUUUGGUAUGAAUGGCG